AGAGUUUGAUCAUGGCUCAGGAUGAACGCUAGCGGGAGGCUUAACACAUGCAAGUCGAGGGGCAGCACGAGGUAGCAAUACUUUGGUGGCGACCGGCGCACGGGUGAGUAACGCGUAUGUAACCUACCCUGUACAGGGGGAUAACCCGGAGAAAUUCGGACUAAUACCCCAUAAUGAUAUUUGGAGGCAUCUUUGAAUAUUUAAAGCUCAGGCGGUACGGGAUGGGCAUGCGUAACAUUAGCUGGUUGGUAGGGUAACGGCCUACCAAGGCUACGAUGUUUAGGGGUCCUGAGAGGGUGAUCCCCCACACUGGUACUGAGACACGGACCAGACUCCUACGGGAGGCAGCAGUGAGGAAUAUUGGUCAAUGGGCGCAAGCCUGAGCCAGCCAUCCCGCGUGCAGGAAGAAGGCGCUAUGCGUCGUAAACUGCUUUUUCAGGGGAAGAAACUUGUCUACGAGUAGGCAAUUGCCGGUACCUUGAGAAUAAGCAUCGGCUAACUCCGUGCCAGCAGCCGCGGUAAUACGGAGGAUGCGAGCGUUAUCCGGAUUUAUUGGGUUUAAAGGGUGCGUAGGCGGAUUAAUAAGUCAGUGGUGAAAACCUGCAGCUUAACUGUAGAAUUGCCAUUGAUACUGUUAGUCUUGAGUAUGGUUAAGGUAGGCGGAAUGUGUAAUGUAGCGGUGAAAUGCUUAGAUAUUACACAGAACACCGAUUGCGAAGGCAGCUUACUGAACCAUAACUGACGCUGAUGCACGAAAGCGUGGGGAGCGAACAGGAUUAGAUACCCUGGUAGUCCACGCCGUAAACGAUGAUCACUCGCUGUUGGCGAUACACAGUCAGCGGCUAAGCAAAAGCAUUAAGUGAUCCACCUGGGGAGUACGGCCGCAAGGCUGAAACUCAAAGGAAUUGACGG
rnacentral:rRNA from 1 species